rnacentral:rRNA from 1 species
AUUGAACGCUGGCGGCAUGCAUUACACAUGCAAGUCGAACGGCAGCACGGGGGCAACCCUGGUGGCGAGUGGCGAACGGGUGAGUAAUACAUCGGAACGUAUCCUUAAGUGGGGGAUAACGCACCGAAAGGUGUGCUAAUACCGCAUAAUCUCCGAGGAGAAAAGCAGGGGAUCGCAAGACCUUGCGCUUUUGGAGCGGCCAAUGUCUGAUUAGCUAGUUGGUGAGGUAAAGGCUUACCAAGGCGUCGAUCAGUAGCUGGUCUGAGAGGACGACCAGCCACACUGGGACUGAGACACGGCCCAGACUCCUACGGGAGGCAGCAGUGGGGAAUUUUGGACAAUGGGGGAAACCCUGAUCCAGCCAUGCCGCGUGAGUGAAGAAGGCCUUCGGGUUGUAAAGCUCUUUCAGCCGGAACGAAACGGUCACGGUUAAUACCCGUGACUACUGACGGUACCGGAAGAAGAAGCACCGGCUAACUACGUGCCAGCAGCCGCGGUAAGAC